ACAGGAAACAGCUUGCUGUUUCGCUGACGAGUGGCGGACGGGUGAGUAAUGUCUGGGAAACUGCCUGAUGGAGGGGGAUAACUACUGGAAACGGUAGCUAAUACCGCAUAAUGUCGCAAGACCAAAGAGGGGGACCUUCGGGCCUCUUGCCAUCGGAUGUGCCCAGAUGGGAUUAGCUAGUAGGUGGGGUAACGGCUCACCUAGGCGACGAUCCCUAGCUGGUCUGAGAGGAUGACCAGCCACACUGGAACUGAGACACGGUCCAGACUCCUACGGGAGGCAGCAGUGGGGAAUAUUGCACAAUGGGCGCAAGCCUGAUGCAGCCAUGCCGCGUGUAUGAAGAAGGCCUUCGGGUUGUAAAGUACUUUCAGCGGGGAGGAAGGGAGUAAAGUUAAUACCUUUGCUCAUUGACGUUACCCGCAGAAGAAGCACCGGCUAACUCCGUGCCAGCAGCCGCGGUAAUACGGAGGGUGCAAGCGUUAAUCGGAAUUACUGGGCGUAAAGCGCACGCAGGCGGUUUGUUAAGUCAGAUGUGAAAUCCCCGGGCUCAACCUGGGAACUGCAUCUGAUACUGGCAAGCUUGAGUCUCGUAGAGGGGGGUAGAAUUCCAGGUGUAGCGGUGAAAUGCGUAGAGAUCUGGAGGAAUACC
rnacentral:rRNA from 1 species